rnacentral:piRNA from 1 species
UCCAAGUGUUCUUCACCACAUCCCUC